AUUGAACGCUGGCGGCAUGCUUUACACAUGCAAGUCGAACGGUAACAGGGUGCUUGCACCGCUGACGAGUGGCGAACGGGUGAGUAAUGCGUCGGAACGUGCCGAGUAGUGGGGGAUAACGCAUCGAAAGGUGUGCUAAUACCGCAUACGUACUGAGGUAGAAAGUGGGGGACCUUCGGGCCUCACGCUAUUCGAGCGGCCGACGUCUGAUUAGCUAGUUGGUGAGGUAAAGGCUCACCAAGGCGACGAUCAGUAGCGGGUCUGAGAGGAUGAUCCGCCACACUGGGACUGAGACACGGCCCAGACUCCUACGGGAGGCAGCAGUGGGGAAUUUUGGACAAUGGGCGCAAGCCUGAUCCAGCAAUGCCGCGUGCAGGAAGAAGGCCUUCGGGUUGUAAACUGCUUUUGUCAGGGAAGAAAUCCUCUGGGUUAAUACCUCGGGGGGAUGACGGUACCUGAAGAAUAAGCACCGGCUAACUACGUGCCAGCCGCCGCUGUAAAAC
rnacentral:rRNA from 1 species